UUGGCAUGGAUAAAAGAAAGAGACUGGAUUGGCCUUGUGGGCGGGCCACGCGUGCCGAGGGUGCGAGCCGGCGUACUGCGCGCUGUCAUAACGCUCAAAUGUCCAUACUUACCGGCUAGCAAUCGCUGUCAUGUUUUGACAGCGUACGUAUCUCCGCAAAAAUAUUAUAUUAUGCCGUCUUGCGCUAUUAUAACGUGUCGGAAAAGAAACCAGGUGUGUAGCAUAGCACGAGAAGGAAUUUCUUUUCACCGGUUUCCAACAGAUCCAGGUGUAACAAAAUUGUGGAUUGACACAACUGGUAGAAUUAAUUAUUUUUUUUCAAGUUCCACCACACAGAUUAGAAACUGCGUAUAUUUUUAUCUCCACCAUAUUUAUACAGACAUUGGUCUUAAAAACUAAGCUUAUAUAAUAAUUAAUAGUAUAAUAAAUUAUGUAGCAAGUUACACGACCAGGUUUAAAACAAUUGAAAAGACAAGUGGUGGGAUUCAGGAACCCAAACCAGGAAAACCUGUACUAUGGGCUCCUGGAUUCCUACUAAAUGUAGCAUAUUUCGUUCGCAACAUUUCGAUGUUGAUAAUUACAUAAUAACAAAGUCAGGGAAAAGAAACUUAAAAUUAGGCGUUUAUCCGCACAAUAUCGCAAUGUGUAAUUCAGUAAGUAAACUGAUUUUAUUUUAGAAAAUUUUAAAUUAGUCUCUUUAAAUCAGUUUUUUUGUCUAAAAAUGGCGAUAUUUAAAAUAUCAUCUUUCGUAAAUUUAAAAAAUGAAAUAAUAUAACCAUGUUAUUUCAAUGUGUUCUGUACUUUAUACAGAUUAUUGUAAAUGUGAGAGCCCUGUAAUUAGCUAAAUUAGACUAGUAGAAUGCAUUUGUGUCAGCUUAGAGUUGUCAUGCUCACUCAAAGGUCUCACUGGCGGUGGCACGGGCAUUGGAUCAUUCGAUUCCCUGCAACAUGGUUGAGUUGGACGGUGCUGGUGUACGUGUCAUGUUGGUGAACGAGCGCUGUCAACUGGGACUGGUCAGCUCCAGACUGUAUUAAUUUUGUUGUUCUUAAGGUUUUUUUUCUAUCGCUUUGACUGAAUAUUAGUUUUACCGAUUGUCCAAAGUGCAGAAAUCCUUCAUGGGAUUUUGUGUUAAGUGUUACAAUAAACUACCAACCACCAUACUGAAUCUGAACGAGAAAAAAUUUAAAUCUUGUAUAAAGCGUGAACUGUGUAAACAGGCAUAUUAUAAACUGUCAGAUUAUAUUGAAGAUAAAAAUGUGUGGCAGCAUGUUGGUCCGGCUCCACUGGACACUCGCUCACACUAGACAAUGCUCUAAUACGAUCACUAGUUACACGUUAAAUUAAAGUACUAAUUUAUUCCAAUGUAGUCUAGGGAUCCUGUGGCAUCAAGCAGUUAUUUAUUUAUUUUUUAUUUGAAAAAUUAAAUUAAAGAUUAUUUUUUAUUUGUAUAGAAGCAUUAUUUCAAAAUUGUAAGUGUACAUAUGUGGGCACUAUGUUUGAAACAACCCGCUUUUUUAAUUUAUAUUCUUUACAAAUUGGUUUUAUUGUCCCAUAGUUUUGACGUCGUAUUGUCGUUACAUUGUUCCUACAUAUAUAUACAAUAGCAAUGUUAUCAAGAAUUGUCUUGUGAAUCUAAUUGAAAAAGAUCGAACGAACAGAUCUUCGAUCUUCUCCAUAGGAAUCUACACUUUGGAACGAGCAAAUAGCUUCACUAGAGGGCUGACCGACAGACAGACGUUAUUAAUAUUAUUAUAUUUGCUUUGACGUUCAAAAGUGCCUAUGAUUUAUUUAUUUUUUACUGAUUUUUAACUUAUUGAGUAAUAAAAUUGGUUUUAAAAUUCA